AAUUCAUAAGAAUAUGGCCAGAUAAUUAAGGGGGUCUUUACCGACUGUCCCUAACGCAAGUGACAAAAUUAAGGACUUAGUGGUUGGUAUCCGAAAUUCCAAGUUUGAAUUCUAGUUUAUUUACAUUAAUUUUCAGCUAAGUUUAUUUCUAAAUGAAAUAAAUAAAGCAGAUAACAUGCGACCUUUCUCUAAAAAAAAAAAAUAAAAAUUAAGGGGGUCUUCAUGCCCUUUUUUAUCCUUUUU
rnacentral:lncRNA from 1 species